rnacentral:lncRNA from 1 species
UUCAUCUCCCGCCAUGAUUCUGAGGCCUCCUCAGCCCUGUGGAACUUGUUGCUCCCAAAUUUAGAAGAUCCAAUUUGGUUUUGGCUCCUUAUUUGAUAUCUGAGCACUCUUCUGACUGCCUAAAAAAGAAAAAGAAGGUAGUCUAACUUAUUCUUCCUACUCCAGAGGAACUCUGAAGAAUGCAAAAGCCUAGAGCCCUUGAUACUACAAAUGGAUUUCCA